GGUGGCGUGGUGUAGUGGCAACACGUUUGCUGGCAACAGCGGAAGACGAGGGUUCAAAUCCCUUUGCUAUCU